AAGAGAAAAGUGGAGUCAGAAGCUCUCUUUCUCAGUUUUAUUUUCGGAGAGUGUGGAACUCUCAAUCUCAUCUUCUACCUCAUUGCCUCUCUUCCUAUUUUCACAACUCAUAUCAUCAAAUCAAUCAAGCACUAGUCUUUAGAGAUUCAUCCAAAAAAAGGGAGAUUAGAUAUAAAUACCAAAUUUGGGUCGUAGUAUUUAAUGAAUGACACGUGGCGUCUAUAAAAUCUAAUGGUAAAAACAAGGCCACAAACACACCAAACCCCACUACACCGAAUCUGAGAAGCUAUCACAAACAGAGCUGCAAGAUAGGGGGAAAGAAUGGGCUGAGAAAUUGCGGAAGAACAACAAAGGCUUCUUGUGUAUUUUUCCCGCAUAGCAGUGGACACUUUGCAGGUCUUUGCUCCUCUAGUGAAGCUUCUUGGGGUGUACCAAAAUUAAUUCACUUGCAACAGGGGGGCAUACAUCAUCCUGGAAUCUCCUAACUUUGAUAAUCAAAAGUUUCUCACCUUUGAAGCAGUUACUCCCAAGGUCAUAGGUCCUGAUAGUUUGACAAGACAUGAAGAUGAAAUCAAGAAAGAUUGCAUCUCAAUGUGCUGUGCAGGUAGCUACUCUACACUUCCUUUUUCCAAAAAAAAAAUGUUCAUACUUUAUACAAUAAGACAUAGCGUUAGUGGGUUAUUAGGACUCAUAAAGUUACAGAUUGUAAUUAUAUUCUUGUUGUCAAUCAAUGGCCAUGUGUCUCAUUUAAACAAGUUGAUUUCCCUUUAUGUUUAUAUAUGUAGUUUUCAUAUGCUCUUUUUAGUU